rnacentral:ncRNA from 1 species
GCAGAGUAGGUGCGCACGUGUGGUUCUCCCUCCAGAGGGAGACAGUGCCGGCGGGACGGGGAGUUGUCCGCCGGACGAAUAGCACGAGGGGAAACCCCAGGCUUGCAGUGUGCCCACCGCAUCCCGCUGC